UAGUUUUGAUCGAACACAGCCGGAGCAUCACAGACACUGUGAGUGAAUUCAUCACUAAAUAAGAUCAACCAUGGCGAAAACAUCAAUUAAGAUUAAAAUAGCAGACAUGAGUGAUGAGAUGCAGCGGAAGGUUCUACAAUGUGCUCUUCUGGCUGUGAAUAUGUAUGAAGAUGGCUUGGACAUUGCUACCUACAUCAAGAAGGAAUUUGACAGAAGGCAUCAGCCCAACUGGCAUUGCAUUGUGAGGAACUGCAGUAGCCAUGUGACACACAAUGACAGCUGUUAUAUCUCCUUUGAUGUUGGCAAUAAACAUAUUGUGCUUUUCAAGACGAACUGAGCCACAGCAACAGUUCAAACACAUUUGGUUAAGGUGCCAAGAAAUUCAGGGUCUGCUUGUUUUUUUUUUAGUUGUGUGACAAUUUUUGUUUUUUUUUCCA